rnacentral:rRNA from 1 species
UUUGAAAGGGAAACGAUUGAAGUCAGUCGUAUCUAUGGGUAAUCAGCCUUUUGGGUGUGAUUUUGUGGAGCGUGAGGAGUUAAACGCCUUCAUGCCUGCAUAUUCGUGCACUUUGGGUGUACUUGCCCGUGUGUAAGUUAACAUCAAUUUUGGUGGUCAUAAAAUGGCUGGAGGAAUGUAGCUUCGAUCUUGUAUUGAAGUGUUAUAGCCUUCGGUAGAUGUGACGAUCGGGAUUGAGGAUUGCAACGGAUACCCUUCGGGGCUACCUGUCUGAUCUCUGAUUGUUGCUCUGGUGCCGAAAGCUUGCUUACGGUUAUUAAAGUCGAUGGUCAAUAGGUUAGAAUGGGUUAAAUUCGUUAAG